UACGUAGGGUGCAAGCGUUAAUCGGAAUUACUGGGCGUAAAGCGCGCGUAGGCGGCUUUGUAAGUUAGAUGUGAAAGCCCGGGGCUCAACCCCGGAAUUGCCUUUAAGACUGCAUCGCUUGAAUCCGGGAGAGGUGAGUGGAAUUCCGAGUGUAGAGGUGAAAUUCGUAGAUAUUCGGAAGAGCACCAGUGGCGAAGGCGGCUCACUGGACCGGCAUUGACGCUGAGGUGCGAAAGCGUGGGGAGCAAACAGG
rnacentral:rRNA from 1 species